rnacentral:lncRNA from 1 species
UCCAUUCUCAACACCGUAUCGAUUUCCAUUUCCAAUUAAGGACCUACCAAAGGUAGUCCAGCUUGUGCCGCCUAAGUGCCUGUGGUAGCCCGACAUCCCUACUCUUGGAAUGUGUCUGUCCCACUCGACCCCGUAGGCUUCUCAAUAUCGCACGAGCGAACAAAAAUCGCAUAGGCCAACUCCGGAGUGCCGGCUUGUAGGGAGCGACCCUCACAAGCAUGUGCGAAUGAGCACAAAUGGCAA